rnacentral:rRNA from 1 species
AACCAGCACCUCAAGUGGUCAGGAUGAUUAUUGGGCCUAAAGCAUCCGUAGCCGGCUCUGUUAGUUUUCGGUUAAAUCUAUGUGCUCAACGCAUGGGCUGCCGAAAAUACUGCAGAGCUAGGGAGUGGGAGAGGUAGACGGUACUCGGUAGGAAGGGGUAAAAUCCUUUGAUCUAUCGAUGACCACCUGUGGCGAAGGCAGCCCCCUGGGAUAACACUGACGCUCAUGCACGAAAGCGUGGGGAGCAAACAGG